ensembl:lncRNA
CUGUUUUCUAAUCCCAUCCUUCAUUUUAAUGGUGGUGUUAUAGAAAGAGAAUCUGUGGAAGAGAGGUUAACACACUCUUUACAUGCUGCUUCAGCUCUUUUUUCAUUAUUUAAUCAUCCUGAAAUCAAAAAUGUUUAAUGAACAUGUUCAUGAGCUGUACCAAAGCCAUUUUCAGGAUCACAAACAUCAAUACCGGGGAUUUUUAUCCCUGUACAUUUGUGAAAAUCAAGAGCAGAUUGAUUCUCUGUUUGACUGUAUCCUAUGGAAUCCAUUUCCACCACAGAAUUAAGAAAGAAAAAAAAAGGUAAUCAUUCAACAGAACAGCAACACUUCCUGUUCCUCAGAGGAUUAAAUCUGGAUCUUGUGAUUUAAUGUUAUCAUGAAAUCUGUAGCCUGGAAACCCAUUUUUGGGAAUUCAGAUUAUCAACCGGAAGACGUUAAGCAUUACCAUGCGACUCAGAUUAAAGGUCAGUGAUGCAUGAAGGGCGAGGAGAGGAGAGUGGACACAGACUGAAAGGAAGGACAGGACACUGCAGCAGCAGGUCCUGUGGAAAAUUCUGACUCCAAAACCUUAAAAGGUGAAAGCAAAACAGCCACAGGACAAGAACAUUUCCACAUGCUUUCCUUCCUGACCUUUCAUUAUACAAGAGCUGGAGGCUGCUUCUAUUCUCAGCAUAAUACAUAAUCAGAUUCCACGGCGUGAUUUUGAAUCCGUCUGAGAUCUGAAGGUUUACUGUAACGUGAGGAAUUUUACUGUUUUCAGCACAAACACCAGAGAACUUUGAUGUCCUUCAUGCUGCUGGAAAUUAAUAUCCUGAAAAUAUCCCAAAACUGAUGCUGUUGAUCUCAAAACACAACACAGCAUCAACUGACUCUGUACUGAGAGUUAACUGAGAGAGUGUUUCUAAACCACAGAAACCCUUUGGUCAUUUCUUUUUUUUUUUCUGUUACAAGACAGAAGAUCAGUGGAGACAAAAGAACAUGCGUUGAGAUGUAAAGAGAGAAAUCCUCAUGUAGUGAACUGGGGCAAAGCAGAUGUCUGUUCAAACGAGUUCUUUGAUUCAAGACUACAUACUAUUUCUCAGAGGUGAUCCCGAACAAAUAUCCAGGCUCAUCUGGAGUGUUUAUUUUUUUGUUUGUUUGUUUGUUUGUUUGUUUUUUUGUCUCUCAGUACCAUAUGGAUCCACAGCAGACAGCAUAUCUAAAAGGAUCACUUUUAAAAAUGUGCAUACACUCACAGGAAAUAAAGAUGGGGGGGGGGGGACAUUAUGGAAAUAAGUUAAAGCAAAUGUGAGAUGUCUGAAAUGGAAUAUAUUAAACAUGCAAUUUAAAUUUAAAUGGCAAUAUUUCCAAAGGCUUGCCAUCUGCACAGUGAACUCAUUUCAGACUGAUUAUCUGGUUAAUGGCAGAGCUAAAGAGACCUUAAUGCAAAGGAACUGUCAGUCUUUGAAGUAUAUGUGCACAGCGUUUCAAAGAGCCACGCUGUGAUACACAGAUGCAGUAGAAGUGUGAUAAUAACCGACUACACAGAGAAACAGAUUCACAAUGGUGUGUGAGGUGCUUCGACUUCUCAUUUGUGCACAUGCUAUAUAUAUAUAUAUAUAUAUACACACACACACACCAUUACGUCCAUAUAUAUUUAGACACUGACACAAUUUUCAUAAUUUCAGCUCUGUAUGCCACCAGAAUGUAAUUAAAAUGAAUUAAUCAAGAUAAAAUUGAAGGGCAGACUUUAAAGGGGUUAUCGGAUGCCCAUUUUCCACAAGUUUAUAUGAUUCUUUAGGGUCUUAGUAAGUAAGUCUAUAACAUUUUUUUGGUUAAAAUUUCUCAAUGGCAGUGUAAAACAACACCCUUUUGACCUUGCCAAAAACAGCUCUGUACACAGCAAGUCGUUUUAGUGCAUGUUUCUUUUUAAAUAUUAAUGAGCUCUGCUCACCCCGCCCCUCUCUUCUGUGGGGUGAAGAACCAUUCUCAUGAGACUGUUAGUUACUGUAGUUGUGGAACUUGCUAACUAGCAUGUUAUUAGGAAAGGCCAUUUACAAAGAUUUAUAAAAUAACAUACUCACUUCUUCUGUAGGUGAAGCUGGAUCACAAAUGAUUUGCGGGAACAUAGAUGCAUUUAGGCAAAUCGGGGAUCGGCGCAUUCCCUUCAAAAACAAAAGUAAUCCACUGUGUCUUCAGUGGUUCAGAUGUCAAGAGUAGGACAACUGCUACGUUCAUUAUUACAUCCAACAACAAAACAACUCAAUUGCUUAGGAGUCAUUCUUGUCUACAUCCCUGAUCCGGUGUUAAAACAAUGGCAGAUUGUUGACAGCUCACUCAGGGCGGAUCUAAGUUAAAACACCAAUGUCAGUCAACAGUUGUGGGAGGGGCCUGGGUCUGUGUGACAUCACACAGCCAAGAAGCUGAGAAUGGCUUGAUUUGUGAAAGGGGAUAUUAUUUAUAGAGAUUAAAAAAAGUAGAUUUUUAUCAUUAAAAUGUAUAUUUAAAUAUAUAUAUAUAUAUAUAUAUAUAUAU